UUUUUGAAUAUUUCCUUAAAACAUAGAAAAAUAAUAAAUUUCUAAUCAGCGGCAAAACUAAAUAAAAGAGCAGAAAUAUAUUUUACACUCACCAGUAACAGAGGAUCCCGUAGAUCCGCAGAAGAAAAGCAAAAGAAAAGUGCAAAUUUUAGAAAAAGAAACAAAUACAUUGUAUCUUAGAAAAGGAAACAAAGGAAAGGAGGAAUUGGAUGUUAUGAAUCUUACUCAACGGACGAGCCUCUGCGAGAUUCGUCAUUAGCAGAAGAAGCAGGAAUACUAGUUCGGUUCGGAGAACUGAAAUCCAUAAAUCAACUAGUGUUUGAUGAACUGUGUUAAAUACAAGAUAUGGUAAUCUAUUAUUAUUAUUUUAAUUUCUCUUGUGCCCUCAACAAUUUGGAAUUCUUAACAAAUUCUUGUACUCCCACGACAUCUGCAACCAUUGCUUUUUUUGGAUUCGCCUUUGUUCCUCGUGCCGUUUACUGAAUUAAGAACUUGUUGUCUACUGAAUGGCAAGGCCAAUGUUUAGCAAAGAUUGGCACUUUUUGUCCCUGGCCAUAGUGCACUGCUACAUGUUGUGCAGAAAACCUGCAAGAAGAUCACUCAGCUUCUGCAAGUUGAGAAUGAUAAAAGUGCACUUAAGGAUGGCCCUUGGAGUUAUGCAGCACUUGCAUGGAUAUGACCUGAGGUAAAUCCGUGACAUCCCGUUAUUUGGAAUAACAGCUUCAGAACUUGGUUGUGGUCAUGCCCCGUCUCGAAGUAUCCACCAAUGAAGGUGAGUUCGUUUAAGUUGAGUAGAAUUUUUGCACUUAUCUGUAUCAGGAAGUUUUGCUCCCCCCCCCCCAGGUGUUGACAUGGGGGUUUUGCUGAUGACCUUACAUACUGCACCACCAGGUGUUGACAUGAAAGGGACAAAAUUUUACAAAGGUUUGUUUGUGUGUGUUGUCCGUUGCCAAAUAAGUUAUUCUUCUUUCUAAUCUUUUAAGGAAAUGGUAGCUGCUUGCUUUGGUGUAGGAUCAAAUGAAGUGUCAAUCUUCGGAAAAGCUUUUGAAGCACAGUUUCUCAAUGAUUACACGCUCAAAUGAAUAUUUGUCUAAAAUCAUUUUCGUGAUCUUCUGACAUGUACCUCCGUUAGGAUAUUUCAGUAUCGUUCAGACGGUAUUGUGGUACUCAUAUGUUGAGAGUAGUAGUCUGGAUAUAUUAGCCAGAAGAGUUGUAAUUGUGAUUUAUCGAGUAAUGAAAUGAAUUAAGCUU